CACCCCCCCGGCGGCUAGGACGGAUCUGGCAUACCCACCGCCCACUACCCCGCACCGACGCACCACUCCUGUGCAGCGCAGCCUCACCUCCGUGCCCCAUGACGGCGCACCACCCCUUCCCCCGCGCCUCCGCACCACCCUCUCGCCCGGCGCCGUCCCACGACCCCUCUCCCAUGAUGCCGAACCACCUCCUUCCCCGCGCCUCCUCCCUGUAGAUCCAACCCGAGCAGGCCACCCCGUCCAUGGAUGCUAUGGUUUGUCGACGGCCAGAGGCAGAGGUACUCCUCUACGCUGCUCUGCCUCGGCGUCCUAGCCCCGCAUCAAUUCCGUCCCCGUCGAGCGAUGCGCCGCCGCCGUGGCGAGACCCAUCCGGCCGCCGCAACGCCGCCCCACCUCCGCACAUUUUUCACUCCGGAUCCAAAAAAAGAGCACAUGGCGCAGCCCCUGCCUCCUCCGCCCCGGAUCCAUGGAGCCCACAGUGUCAGCGAGAGGCCCCCUCUUCUCUGUCGCGAGCUCGGGCCAACCAUUACUCAGCCACACGCCGGUGCCUCCCUCCUCCAUGGACCCGACGCCGAUGCCAGCCACAGGAGGCGCCGGCGCGCAAGGGACAACGGUGUGCGUGUGCUCAACCUCCAAAAAAGGCAAAAUACCAGCGAUUCCAGGAGCGCGCGGUGAUGUUCAACGCUGGCGAGGACACCCCGUCUGUUCAGAAAGGGAUAACUUGUUUUUUUUGUUGGAUUUUGGAUGAACAUUUGAUGCCUCGUGCGUUUCAGCGGUGAGGCUGCAGAUCAUGCGGUGCAGUUGAGUGCGGCAUGCGGUUUCGUGUGCGGUUUGUUUCAGUGUGUUUUACUUUUUUGUUGUGCCCUUGGGGAUAAUUGCAUGUUUGUAAAUUGGGUGUGCCCACUGUCCACCGUUCAGUUCGAAAAACGAUCCCUUAAAAACA